rnacentral:rRNA from 1 species
AGUGAACGUCGGCGGCGUGGAUUAGGCAUGCAAGUCGAGCGAGAACCGUAGCAAUACGGGGACAGCGGCGAAAGGGACAGUAAUGUGUAGGUACCUACCCCGAGGUCUGGGAUAGCUGCGGGAAACUGCAGGUAAUACCGGAUAAUGUCUUCGGACCAAAGGUGUGAUUCCACCUUGGGAGGGGCCUGCAUCCUAUUAGCUAGUUGGCGGGGUAAUGGCCCACCAAGGCAACGAUGGGUAGCGGGUGUGAGAGCACGACCCGCGUCAUUGGGACUGAGAUACGGCCCAGACACCUACGGGUGGCUGCAGUCGAGGAUCUUCGGCAAUGGGCGAAAGCCUGACCGAGCGACGCCGCGUGCGGGAUGAAGGCCUUCGGGUUGUAAACCGCUGUCGUAGAGGAGGAAAUGCAGGGGGGUUCUCCCUUCUGUUUGACCUAUUCUAGGAGGAAGGACGGGCUAAGUUCGUGCCAGCCGCCGCAGUAA